GAUGAACGCUGGCGGCGUGCCUAAUACAUGCAAGUCGAGCGAACGGACGAGAAGCUUGCUUCUCUCAUGUUAGCGGCGGACGGGUGAGUAACACGUGGAUAACCUACCUAUAAGACUGGGAUAACUUCGGGAAACCGGAGCUAAUACCGGAUAAUAUUUUGAACCGCAUGGUUCAAAAGUAAAAGACGGUCUUGCUGUCACUUAUAGAUGGAUCCGCGCUGCAUUAGCUAGUUGGUAAGGUAACGGCUUACCAAGGCAACGAUGCAUAGCCGACCUGAGAGGGUGAUCGGCCACACUGGAACUGAGACACGGUCCAGACUCCUACGGGAGGCAGCAGUAGGGAAUCUUCCGCAAUGGGCGAAAGCCUGACGGAGCAACGCCGCGUGAGUGAUGAAGGUCUUCGGAUCGUAAAACUCUGUUAUUAGGGAAGAACAUAUGUGUAAGUAACUGUGCACAUCUUGACGGUACCUAAUCAGAAAGCCACGGCUAACUACGUG
rnacentral:rRNA from 1 species